UACGGAGGGUGCAAGCGUUAAUCGGAAUUACUGGGCGUAAAGCGUGCGCAGGCGGUUAUGUAAGACAGAUGUGAAAUCCCCGGGCUCAACCUGGGAACUGCAUUUGUGACUGCAUAGCUAGAGUACGGUAGAGGGGGAUGGAAUUCCGCGUGUAGCAGUGAAAUGCGUAGAUAUGCGGAGGAACACCGAUGGCGAAGGCAAUCCCCUGGACCUGUACUGACGCUCAUGCACGAAAGCGUGGGGAGCAAACGAGG
rnacentral:rRNA from 1 species